CCUUAGAGUUUGAUCCUGGCUCAGGAUGAACGCUAGCGAUAGGCUUAACACAUGCAAGUCGAGGGGCAGCACGGAAUAGCAAUAUUUUGGUGGCGACCGGCGCACGGGUGAGUAACACGUAUGCAACCUACCCAUGACAGUGGAAUAACCCGUCGAAAGGCGGACUAAUACCGCAUAAUAAAGGGAACCUGCAUGGGUUCUUUUUCAAAGAUUUAUCGGUCAUGGAUGGGCAUGCGUUCCAUUAGGUAGUUGGCGGGGCAACGGCCCACCAAGCCUGCGAUGGAUAGGGGUUCUGAGAGGAAGGUCCCCCACACUGGUACUGAGACACGGACCAGACUCCUACGGGAGGCAGCAGUGAGGAAUAUUGGUCAAUGGGCGAGAGCCUGAACCAGCCAAAUCGCGUGAAGGAUGAAGGUAUUAUGUAUUGUAAACUUCUUUUACAGGGGAAUAAAGUGCGGGACGUGUCCCGUUUUGUAUGUACCCUGAGAAUAAGGAUCGGCUAACUCCGUGCCAGCAGCCGCGGUAAUACGGAGGAUCCAAGCGUUAUCCGGAUUUAUUGGGUUUAAAGGGUGCGUAGGCGGGGAACCAAGUCAGCGGUGAAAGUUUGCGGCUCAACCGUAAAAUUGCCGUUGAAACUGGUUCUCUUGAGUGUAGAUGAGGUGGGUGGAAUUCGUGGUGUAGCGGUGAAAUGCUUAGAUAUCACGAAGAACUCCAAUUGCGUAGGCAGCUCACUGGGCUACAACUGACGCUGAGGCACGAAGGUGCGGGGAUCAAACAGGAUUAGAUACCCUGGUAGUCCGCACAGUAAACGAUGAAUACUACCUGUUGGCGAAACAC
rnacentral:rRNA from 1 species